rnacentral:rRNA from 1 species
AGAGUUUGAUUCUGGCUCAGGAUGAACGCUGGCGGCAUGCCUAACACAUGCAAGUCGAACGAGGGCAGCAAUGCCCGAGUGGCGGACGGGUGAGUAACGCGUGAACAAUCUGCCUAUGUCAGGGGAAUAACACAGAGAAAUUUGUGCUAAUACCGCAUAAGACCACGAAGAGGCAUCUCUUUGAGGUAAAAGAUUUUAUCGGACAUAGAUGAGUUCGCGUCCCAUUAGGUAGUUGGUGAGGUAACGGCCCACCAAGCCGACGAUGGGUAGCCGACCUGAGAGGGUGAUCGGCCACAUUGGAACUGAGAAACGGUCCAGACUCCUACGGGAGGCAGCAGUGGGGAAUAUUGGGCAAUGGAGGCAACUCUGACCCAGCAACGCCGCGUGAAUGAAGAAGGUCUUCGGAUUGUAAAGUUCUUUAGCGAGGGACGAAAAGAAUGACGGUACCUCGAGAAUAAGCCACGACUAACUACGUGCCAGCAGUCGCGGUAAUACGUAGGUGGCGAGCGUUGUCCGGAAUGACUGGGCGUAAAGGGAGCGUAGGCGGCACAACAAGUUAGGAGUGAAAUACCGUGGCUUAACCACGGAACUGCUUUUAAAACUGUUGAGCUAGAGUGAUGGAGAGGAAAGCGGAAUUCCUAGUGUAGCGGUGGAAUGCGUAGAUAUUAGGAGGAACACCAGAGGCGAAGGCGGCUUUCUGGACAUUAACUGACGCUGAGGCUCGAAAGCGUGGGGAGCAAACAGGAUUAGAUACCCUGGUAGUCCACGCCGUAAACG